rnacentral:rRNA from 1 species
AGAGUUUGAUCAUGGCUCAGGAUGAACGCUGGCGGCGUGCCUAGCACAUGCAAGUCGAACGGAAUUUACAUGAAGCCUAGCGAUUGUAAAUUUAGUGGCGGACGGGUGAGUAACGCGUGGGUAACCUGCCUUGUACUGGGGGACAACAGUUGGAAACGACUGCUAAUACCGCAUAAGCGCACGGCUUCGCAUGAAGCAGUGUGAAAAACUCCGGUGGUACAAGAUGGACCCGCGUCUGAUUAGCUGGUUGGUGAGGUAACGGCCGACCAAGGCGACGAUCAGUAGCCGGCCUGAGAGGGUGAACGGCCACACUUGGGACUGAGACACGGCCCAAACGUCCCUACGGGAGGCA